rnacentral:rRNA from 1 species
GGGACACGUGGUAUCCUGUCUGAAUAUGGGGGGACCAUCCUCCAAGGCUAAAUACUCCUGACUGACCGAUAGUGAACCAGUACCGUGAGGGAAAGGCGAAAAGAACCCCGGCGAGGGGAGUGAAAAAGAACCUGAAACCGUGUACGUACAAGCAGUGGGAGCACGCUUAGGCGUGUGACUGCGUACCUUUUGUAUAAUGGGUCAGCGACUUAUAUUCUGUAGCAAGGUUAACCGAAUAGGGGAGCCGAAGGGAAACCGAGUCUUAACUGGGCGUUAAGUUGCAGGGUAUAGACCCGAAACCCGGUGAUCUAGCCAUGGGCAGGUUGAAGGUUGGGUAACACUAACUGGAGGACCGAACCGACUAAUGUUGAAAAAUUAGCGGAUGACUUGUGGCUGGGGGUGAAAGGCCAAUCAAACCGGGAGAUAGCUGGUUCUCCCCGAAAGCUAUUUAGGUAGCGCCUCGUGAAUUCAUCUCCGGGGGUAGAGCACUGUUUCGGCAAGGGGGUCAUCCCGACUUACCAACCCGAUGCAAACUGCGAAUACCGGAGAAUGUUAUCACGGGAGACACACGGCGGGUGCUAACGUCCGUCGUGAAGAGGGAAACAACCCAGACCGCCAGCUAAGGUCCCAAAGUCAUGGUUAAGUGGGAAACGAUGUGGGAAGGCCCAGACAGCCAGGAUGUUGGCUUAGAAGCAGCCAUCAUUUAAAGAAAGCGUAAUAGCUCACUGGUCGAGUCGGCCUGCGCGGAAGAUGUAACGGGGCUAAACCAUGCACCGAAGCUGCGGCAGCGACGCUUAUGCGUUGUUGGGUAGGGGAGCGUUCUGUAAGCCUGCGAAGGUGUGCUGUGAGGCAUGCUGGAGGUAUCAGAAGUGCGAAUGCUGACAUAAGUAACGAUAAAGCGGGUGAAAAGCCCGCUCGCCGGAAGACCAAGGGUUCCUGUCCAACGUUAAUCGGGGCAGGGUGAGUCGACCCCUAAGGCGAGGCCGAAAGGCGUAGUCGAUGGGAAACAGGUUAAUAUUCCUGUACUUGGUGUUACUGCGAAGGGGGGACGGAGAAGGCUAUGUUGGCCGGGCGACGGUUGUCCCGGUUUAAGCGUGUAGGCUGGUUUUCCAGGCAAAUCCGGAAAAUCAAGGCUGAGGCGUGAUGACGAGGCACUACGGUGCUGAAGCAACAAAUGCCCUGCUUCCAGGAAAAGCCUCUAAGCAUCAGGUAACAUCAAAUCGUACCCCAAACCGACACAGGUGGUCAGGUAGAGAAUACCAAGGCGCUUGAGAGAACUCGGGUGAAGGAACUAGGCAAAAUGGUGCCGUAACUUCGGGAGAAGGCACGCUGAUAUGUAGGUGAAGUCCCUUGCGGAUGGAGCUGAAAUCAGUCGAAGAUACCAGCUGGCUGCAACUGUUUAUUAAAAACACAGCACUGUGCAAACACGAAAGUGGACGUAUACGGUGUGACGCCUGCCCGGUGCCGGAAGGUUAAUUGAUGGGGUCAGCGCAAGCGAAGCUCUUGAUCGAAGCCCCGGUAAACGGCGGCCGUAACUAUAACGGUCCUAAGGUAGCGAAAUUCCUUGUCGGGUAAGUUCCGACCUGCACGAAUGGCGUAAUGAUGGCCAGGCUGUCUCCACCCGAGACUCAGUGAAAUUGAACUCGCUGUGAAGAUGCAGUGUACCCGCGGCAAGACGGAAAGACCCCGUGAACCUUUACUAUAGCUUGACACUGAACAUUGAGCCUUGAUGUGUAGGAUAGGUGGGAGGCUUUGAAGUGUGGACGCCAGUCUGCAUGGAGCCGACCUUGAAAUACCACCCUUUAAUGUUUGAUGUUCUAACGUGGACCCGUAAUCCGGGUUGCGGACAGUGUCUGGUGGGUAGUUUGACUGGGGCGGUCUCCUCCUAAAGAGUAACGGAG